AUCCUUUUUUGGCCUUUUGGCUAAGAUCAAGUGUGAUAUUCUUAUUAGUUUAAUAUCUGAUACAUUAAAAAAUUUGAUAUUGAAAACAAUUCCCCUCUGUGCUUCAACUACAAAUCCCUUACACAUAAUGUUCUGUCUGGGUUUUUCCCACAGCCAAGAGGGAAUUUAUUUGA
ensembl:snRNA U2 U2 spliceosomal RNA